rnacentral:misc_RNA from 1 species
GUAGGGCUUCGGCCCUGUCGAGAUAGAACCCUUGCCUUUUUGAGUACCUUUCGCUUCCUCGGCAGGCUCGCCUGCCAAUGGGGACCCCAAAAAACACUUUGCAGUACCUGUAAUUGUCUGAACAAAACAAACAAAAAUUAAAACUUUCAACAACGGAUCUCUUGGUUCU